UGACCCAGCAGAGCAGACAGUGUGCCGCGGCCGUCAUCAUCUGGGAGAACAAGCUGUCAGGAAGAGGAGGUCAGUGCGCCAGACCUCAGGGGAAGAGACGCUGCGGCGGCGGUGAGUGCGUGUACAGCAGGAGAGGGGAUUCAGGGUAUGGGUGUCUACAGUGGCUCAUGACACCUCUGUGUAAUCCACAAGGCCCUUCACAACACCAAUAUAACGAUGCACACAUUGCCACCCGCAAUGUUGUGGAACGCACUUUUGGGGUGCUGAAAAGUCGUUUUAGGUGUUUGGACCGGUCAUCAGGUACAUUACUUUAUCAACCACCCAAAGUAGUGAUGAUCGUCCAGGCUUGCUGCAUACUGUCAUCAGGGUAAUGUGGCCCACCCCUAAGAAGUUCGCCCAUAUCUGCUGCUUGCUUGUAUACAUACAUGCUGGAAAUGCCUCCACUGGCUCCAAAAUAAUUUACAGGUCCUCUUCAGUCCGGUGUACCUGAACCUGUGCCUGCUGGCGUCGCUGUGUUGUUCCUGUGAAUAUGUUGAGAUUGGAGAAACUCACCAGCAGCUUCUACAUCCAGCCAAACACGUUGUUGCCUCUGUGUAGCAGGACCCCUUCUCUGAUGUGGUGCUAUAAAGACAUAGGAAGAAACAGAUUAAAUGCAUUAUCCAGAGGCAUCACUAGGGUUGGUGUCACCCGGUAUGGUAACUUAUGGUGUCACCCCCAUGGACCUCCUUCCAUAUCACACCACACGGGACCCUUAGUAAUGCUUUUGUACUAGUAUUUUUAACUUAGUCAAAUAUAUAUACACACACACAGUGGUCGAAGUGGAAAUUUUGAAGUGGGGGUAUGGAAAAGUUAAUGUAAUUAUGGUUGCACGCUGUGGAAAAGGGGGUGUGACCACCCAAAAGGGGGGUGUCCUUAAGUGUAGUGUACCACGCCAUAUACCGCUUAUACACAUUGUGCACCACAAUAGUAGAACCCCUUAUACUAUCUAGUACUGGUGCCACUUACACAUUAUGCCACACUGAAAUAGCCAAGAUUCACAUUAUGCCACACAGUAUGAGCCAAAAUUCACAUUAUGCCACACAGUAUGAGCCAAAAUUCAAAUUAUGCCACACUGAAUGAGCCAAAAUUCACAUUAUGCCACACAGUAUGAUCCAAAAUUCACAUUAUGCCACACAGUAUGAGCCAAAAUUCACAUUAUGCCACACAGUAUGAGCCAAAAUUCACAUUAUGCCACACACUAUGAUCCAAACUUCACAUUAUGCCACACUGAAUGAGCCAAAAUUCACAUUAUGCCACACAGUAUGAGCCAAAUUCCCAUUAUGCCACACAGUAUGAGCCAAAAUUCAGGGACAGAGAGAGUGACAGCAGGGACAUAGCAACAGGGAGAGUGACAGCAGGGACAUAGGGACAGGUGGAGUGACAGCAGGGACAUAGGGACACAGGAGAGUGACAUCAGGUACAUAGGGCAGGGAGAGUGAUAGCAGAGACAUAGGGACAGGGAAAGUGAUGGGAAGAGUGACAGCAGGGACAUAGGGACAGGGAGAGUGACAGCAGGGACAGGGAGAGUGACAGCAGUGACAGAGGGGCAGGGAGAGUGACAUCAUGGACAUAGGGACAGGGAGAGUGACACCAGGGGCAGGGAGAGUGACAGCAGGGACAGGAAGAGUGACAGAGGGACAUAGGCAGGCAGGGUAACAGUAACUAAUGAGCAGCGGUGGGGGCUGUGGUCAGCAGCAGUGCAGAAGCUGUAGUCGGCGGUGGUGAGGAGGAGAAGCUCUGGGCAGCGGCGGUGCGGAGGAGGCUGUGGGCGUCGGCGGUGAGAAGGCCCUGGGCAGCGGCAGUGUGGAGGCGAAGGUCCUGGGCAGCGGCAGUGCAAGGAGGCCGUGGGCGGCGGAUGAGGAGAAGGCCAUGGGCAGUGGCAGUGCGGAGAAGGCCUUGGGCAGCGGCGUUGCCAUGGAAGGUGGCGGCGGUGAUGCGAAAAAGUCCCUGGGCAGCGGCGUUGCAGAGGUGGGAAGCGGCUGUCAGGAGGAGAUGGCCCUGGGCAGCGGCGGUGUGGAGGAGGCCUUCGGUGUGGCUCUGGUGAGGUCCACCAUUUGAAAUCGGCAGCCAAGCUGGAGCAUCCGCGUGGCCACUUCUGAUUGGCUGCCGGUUCCAGAGUUCCAAUUGGCUCUUUAACAGUGUGGAUUUUGAAAGGCGGCGGCAGCGGCGGGGCUCUUAAGUGCUUGAAGUGCCGGUAUGUCAUACCGGUGUAAACCAGCCCACUUUGAGCACUGUGUGGGCGGGAUUUACUAAAGGGAAAAUGCGGUAAAACCCCCGUUUUACCGCAUUUUCAUAUGUACUAACCCCCGACCGCCGCGUUUUCGCCCCAUAGGGUAUCGCCAUCUUUUUAUAGCGAUACCCUAUAGAAGCCUAUGGGACUUUUACCGCUGCUGCUGGAUCCCGUCGCUGCCCCGCGCCGCUCACGACGACCCACCCUUCUCCCCGGCAUACCUGAGAGGCUGCUGUUGCGGCCCCCCUCCUCCUUCUCCCCCACAGCACAGCCUUGUCUCCUUCCGGCUGCAAGUGGGAGGAGGAGCCCGGGGACUCCUAGUGCACGUCACCUUCUGGGUCUGGGAGGUGACUGAGACCUCUGCUGACCCCCGCAGACCACCGCAGACAUCAUCGCGGGGGGCCUCCUAUACCGCAUUGCGAUACUAAUCGCAUAUGUUAGUACAUAUGCGAUUAGUAUCCCUGCGGUAGUUGGCGAGGGGCGGCGAUGUCUUAUAGUACAUCCCGCCCUGUGUGUGUGUGUGUAUAUAUAUAUAUAUAUAUAUAUAUAUAUAUACACGCUUUGCUCCGGCACUCGGCUCAGGUGCCUUCCUCCAGGGGUAUAACCCU